rnacentral:lncRNA from 1 species
AUGAAGACAAUUCUCAGCAGUCAGACUGUCAACAUUCCAGAAAAUGUCAACAUCACUCGGAAGGGGUGCACAGUCAUUGUGAAGGGCCCCAGGGGAACUCCGCGGAGGGACUUCAGUCACAUUAAUGUCUCCUUGGAAAGAAAAAGAGGCUCCAAAAAUGGUGGGGUAACAAGAAAGGAGCUGGCCACUGUCAGGACCGUCUGCAGUCAUGUUCAGAACAAGAUCAAGGAGGUCACACUGGGCUUCUGUUAUGAGAUAAAGUCCCUUCCCCAGCAACGGUGUUAUUCAGAAGAGUGGGUCUUUGGAUGAAAUCCGAAAUUUCUUGGGUGAAAAAUACAAUGGCAGGGUGCGGAUGAAGAUGGGUGUUGAUUGCUCUCUCUCCCAAGCCCAGAAGGAUGAGUUAAUCCUUGAAGGAAAUGGUAUUGAACUUGUUUCAAAUUCAGCGGCUCUGAUUCAGCAAGCCACAAAAGUUAGAAACAAGGAUAUCAGAAAGUUUUUGGAUGGCAUCUAUGUGCCUGGGAAGGGAACGGUGCAUC